AUCGCUUCUCGGCCUUUUGGCUAAGAUCAAGUGUAGUAUCUGUUCUUAUCAGUUUAAAUGUUUAGUAAGAUCAAAAUAUUUCCUUUUACUUCUGUUAGAGUUAACUGGAAUCUUUUGAGUAAUGAUUGAAACUCAGUAGGAUCCCAGUAAC
rnacentral:snRNA from 1 species